GACGAACGCUGGCGGCGUGCUUAACACAUGCAAGUCGAACGGAAAGGCCCUGCUGUUUUCGGGUGCUUGGAUGGCGAGCGAGUGAUUAACACGUGAGUAACCUGCCCUUGGCUUUGGGAUAACUUCAGGGAACUUGUUCUAAUAACGGAUAUGAGCUUCUGCUGCAGGGUGGGGGUUGGAUAGUGUGGGCGGUUGGGGAUGGAGUCGCUGCGUAUCAUCUUGUUGGUGGGGUAGUGGCUUACCAAGGCUUUGAGCGGUAGCCGGCCUGAGAGGGGGAACGGCCACAUGGGGACUGAGAUACGGACCAGACUCCUACGGGAGGCAGCAGUGGGGAAUAUUGCACAAUGGGCGGAAGCCUGAUGCAGCAACGCCGCGUGCGGGAUGACGGCCUUCGGGUUGUAAACCGCUUUCGCCUGUGACGAAGCGUGAGUGACGGUAACGGGUAAAGAAGCACCGGCUAACUACGUG
rnacentral:rRNA from 1 species